rnacentral:rRNA from 1 species
GCACCCGCGGUAAUUCCAGCACCAAUAGCGUAUAUUAAUGCUGCUGCUGUUAAAAAGCUCGUAGUUGGAUCAAGAGUUCGACAGUGCAAGGUGGCCUCGCUUGUAGUGUUGGCUCCGGUCAUCGCUACGGCGGCGGAUCAACCCCUUGCGCCAAACUGUCGUCUCUAACAGACCGAAGCGGUUCCCUGUGAGUAGGCCACUUAAUUGGGGCUGAAAGCGUCUACGCAUUCACCAUAUGCAUACGGGACGUCGGUCAAAGUUACUGUGAACAAACCAGCGUGUCCAAAACAGGCUUUGCCUGAAUGUUCGAGCAUGGAAUAACAAGGGAUCGAUUCUCUCGGUUCUUUUUGUUGGUUUUUAACCCGAGAAGGAGUAAUUCAGGGCAUGGUGUCUGGGCUGGGUUCCCCUUCAUUUCGGUGGAGGCCCCAGUUAGGCCGUGUCCUUACGGGAUAAAUAGGGACUGACGGGGUCGUAAGUACUUCCACGUCAGAGGUGAAAUUCUUAGAUCGUGGGAAGACUAACUUCUGCGAAAGCAUUCGACAAGAAUGUCUUCAUUAAUCAAGAACGAGAGUGUGGGGAUCGAAGAUGAUCAGAUACCGUCGUAGUCCACUACUGUAAACAAUGCCGUCUCAGGAUUGAGAAGUGAACAAAAUGACUUUCACAGCACUAACCCCUGAAACGAGAAAUCAAAGAUUAUGGGUUCAGGGGGGAGUACAUUCGCAAGGCUGAAACUUAAAGGAAUUGACGGAAUGACACCACAAGGCGUGGAGUAUGCGGCUUAAUUUGACUCAACACGGGGAAUUUUACUAGGUCAGGACAAUGUAAGGAUUGACAGAUUGAGAGCUCUUUCUCGAUCCAUUGUGUGGUGGUGCAUGGCCGCUCCUGGUUGGUGGAGUGAUUUGUCUGGUUGAUUCCGUUAACGAACGAGAUCUCGACCCUUAAAUAGGUGCCCGUGUCGAUUGUAGAUUUGCCUCCGCCAGCUUGCUGGAUUGGAGCAGGUCGAGACUGCGGGAAUACUUCUUAAGGGGACUGUGUGCGUCUCUAGCACGCGGAAGAGCGAGCCAAUAGCAGGUCUGUGAUGCUCCUAAAUGUCCUAGGCUGCACGCGCACUACACUGAUGCAAUAAACGAGUCUGAGUGCCUUCUGGCAACCUACCUGGAAGCGGGUGGGAAAUCUUUUGAACUUGCAUCGUGAUGAG